rnacentral:rRNA from 1 species
UCACUGACUAUUAGACUACCCGCGUACGCCCAGCCGUAAACAAUGUGCGUUAGGUGUGUCGGUAACCACGCGUUACUGAUGCGCCGAAGAGAAAUCGUGAAACGCACCACCUGGGAAGUACGGUCGCAAGGCUGAAACUUAAAGGAAUUGGCGGGGAGCACCACAACAGGUGGAGCCUGCGGUUUAAUUGGAUUCAACGCCGGACAUCUCACCGGAUAAGACAGCUGAAUGAUUGUCAAUCUGAAGGUUUUACAUGACUAGCUG